rnacentral:rRNA from 1 species
GACGAACGCUGGCGGCGUGCCUAAUACAUGCAAGUAGAACGCUGAAGAGAGGAGCUUACUCUUCUUGGAUGAGUUGCGAACGGGUGAGUAACGCGUAGGUAACCUGCCUUGUAGCGGGGGAUAACUAUUGGAAACGAUAGCUAAUACCGCAUAACAAUGGAUGACACAUGUCAUUUAUUUGAAAGGGGCAAUUGCUCCACUACAAGAUGGACCUGCGUUGUAUUAGCUAGUAGGUGAGGUAAUGGCCCACUUAGGCGACGAUACAUAGCCGACCUGAGAGGGUGCUCGACCACGCUGAGCCUGAGACAGGGGCAAGACUCCUACAGGGGGCAGCAGUAGGGGAUCUUCGGCGAUGGGGGCAACCCUGACCGGGCAACGCCGCGUGAGUGAAGAAGGUUUUCGGAUCGUAAAGCUCUGUUGUAAGUCAAGAACGGGUGUGAGAGUGGAAAGUGCACACUGUGACGGUAGCUGACCAGAAAGGGACGGCUAACUACGUG